UACGGGGAGGGACAGCUGUUGUGAAUUACUGGGCGUAAAGGGCUCGUAGGUGGCCAACUAAGUCAGACGUGAAAUCCCUCGGCUUAACCGGGGAACUGCGUCUGAUACUGGAUGGCUUGAGUUUGGGAGAGGGACGCGGAAUUCCAGGUGUAGCGGUGAAAUUCGUAGAUAUUCGGAAGAACACCAGUGGCGAAGGCGGCUCACUGGCCCGGUACUGACGCUGAGGUGCGAAAGCGUGGGGAGCAAACAGG
rnacentral:rRNA from 1 species